GACGAACGCUGGCGGCGUGCUUAACACAUGCAAGUCGAACGGAAAGGCCCUGCUUUUGUGGGGUGCUCGAUUGGCGAACGGGUGAGUAACACGUGAGUAACCUGCCCUUGACUUUGGGAUAACUUCAGGAAACUGGGGCUAAUACCGGAUAGGAGCUCCUGCUGCAUGGUGGGGGUUGGAAAGUUUCGGCGGUUGUGGAUGGACUCGCGGCUUAUCAGCUUGUUGGUGGGGUAGUGGCUUACCAAGGCUUCGACGGGUAGCCGGCCUGAGAGGGUGACCGGCGACAAUGGGACUGAGAGACGGCCCAGACGGCUACGGGCGGCAGCAGUGGGGAAUAUUGCACAAUGGGCGGAAGCGUGAUGCAGCAACGCCGCGUGCGGGAUGACGGCCUUCGGGUUGUAAACCGCUUUCGCAUGUGACGAAGCGUGAGUGACGGUAAUGGGUAAAGAAGCACCGGCUAACUACGUG
rnacentral:rRNA from 1 species